CUUUCCUACGGGGCGCAGCAGUGAGGAAUAUUGGUCAAUGGGCGCGAGCCUGAACCAGCCAAGUCGCGUGAGGGAGGACGGCCCUACGGGUUGUAAACCUCUUUUGCCGGGGAGCAACGGGCGUCACGUGUGGCGCCCCUGAGAGUACCCGGAGAAGAAGCCUCGGCUAACUCCGUGCCAGCAGCCGCGGUAAUACGGAGGAUGCGAGCGUUAUCCGGAUUUAUUGGGUUUAAAGGGUGCGUAGGCGGAUCGUUAAGUCAGUGGUCAAGUUGAGGGGCUCAACCCCUUCACGCCAUUGAAACUGG
rnacentral:rRNA from 1 species